ensembl:snRNA U1 U1 spliceosomal RNA
AUGCUUAGCUGGAAGGGGAGAUACUAUGAUCAUAAAGGCAGUCUUCUCACUCUGAGGCUCACCCCGCAUUGUACUCUAGAUCUGGUACCUCUGUAGUUUCCCCAGAUUCAGGUGUUGUGACUGCAUGAUUUGUGGUAGCAGGGGCUGUGUUCACACCUUCCUUUA